GCUGACGCGCACGUGACUCGGCGCCCAGCCUUUGCUCGCGGAAGUGGUGCUUUCUCCACGUCGGGCACGGGGUCUUGGGACGCCCCUCAGGGCCGACAAGCCAGAGCUGGCGCCGCGCGGCCGACCCGCAGCGGGGCGCCGGCAUGGUGCAGCUGUACAACCUGCACCCGUUCGGGUCGCAGCAGGUGGUGCCCUGCAAGCAGGAGCCCGAGCAGUUCUGCGGAGGGGGGCGCGACGCGCUGUUUGUGGCUGCGGGUUGCAAAGUGGAAGCGUUCGCUGUGGCCGGCCGGGAGUUGUGCCAGCCGAGGUGCUCCUUUUCCACGCUCGGACGGGUGCUGCGCCUGGCCUACAGUGAGGCCGGAGAUUAUUUGGUGGCAAUUGAAGAGAAAAACAAAGCUACAUUUCUUCGUGCUUAUGUGAAUUGGAGAAGUAAAAGGACUGAGAACUCUCGCGUGUGUAUCCGAAUGGUUGGGCAUAACGUGGAGGCACCCUUCAAUGAAGUCUUCAGAGACCAGAUGUCUAUUGUCGAAAUGCCGCUUCGUGAAGCCCCCUUAUGCAUUUCCUGUUGCCCUGUGAAAGGAGACCUUCUUGUUGGCUGCACACAUGAGUUAGUCUUAUUUAGUUUGAAGUAUCAGAUCAUUAAUGAGGAAUUCUCAGUCUUGGAUUUUGAGCGUUCUUUAAUAAUACACAUAGAUAAUAUCACUCCUGUAGAAAUUUCUUUUUGUGUUGGAUAUGUUGCUGUCAUGUCAGAUUUAGAAGUCUUAAUCCUGAAACUGGACUCGGACCCUACGAAUGGAGGGAGUGUUAACCACCAUCCAUGUAAGACCAACAAUCCAAUGAAACAGGCAGAAGAAGGCAUCAGUAAUGAAACUUUUCACAUUGAGUCAGAUGAUUUUGUUAUUUGCCAAAAGCCCAUGGAACUUCUUGGUGAAAAAAGUAAACAGUCUGGAGUGUCUGUUACACUGGAGUUAACAGGGUUAACUGAUGAAAAUCAAAAAUAUUUCUGUGUUCAGCAUCUGCUCUAUAGACAUUUUACUCCUGAUAUUUCAUCUUAUAUUUUGCCUGAUGACAUCAAGUUGCAUUCACUUCAGCUGCUACCCAUUUACCGAACAGGUUCUCUUACUUCUGAUGGAAAAAAUUCAUCUCAGGAAAAAGAGUUGCUGAGUCUCUUUUGUUUUUUCUCAUUACCUCAUGUGGGCUAUCUCUACAUGGUUGUCAAAUCUGUUGAAUUAUUGUCAGUCUACCAGUAUCCUGAGAGGUCUCAGCAGGCGGUGCUCACACCACAAUUCCUGCACGUCAUCACAAGUAACAACCUGCAGUGUUUCACAGUGCGGUGCAGUGCAGCAGCAGCUCGUGAGGAGGACCCCUAUGUGGACACCACCCUGAAGGCUUGCCCACCUGUCAGCAUGGAUGUCUGUGUUUUACGAAUACAGCUCUUUAUAGGCUUGAAAACCAUCUGCCACUUUAAAAACCACAUCAUACUUUUGACCAAGGCAGACCCUGAGGCCAUGCCAGAGAGAAGAGAGUCACCAAAGAGGCUUCUUUCUAGAAAAGAUACCAGUGUUAAGCUCAAAACACCUGUGACUGAAGCUGGGUGGAAUUUGUAUAUUGUGAAUACGAUCUCACCAGUGCAACUGUACAAGGAAAUGGUAGACUAUAGUAAUACGUACAAGACUGUGAAAACCCAGAGCUGCAUCCACCUUCUCAGUGAGGCUCAUCUUUUAGUGAGAGCUGCCCUAAUGGAUGCCCAAGAGCUGGAACCUGGAGAGAGAGCAGAACUUUUAGAAGCAUUUAAAGAAAGCUGUGGACACCUUGGAGAUUGUUACAGCAGGCUUGACACCCAGUAUUCCCACCUCGCUUUGCCGUACUAUAAAAUGUCUGGCUUGACCAUGGCUGAAGUUUUGGCCCGAAUGGAUUGGGCAGUAGAGGAUGGAUCACAGAAAUACGAGAAGGGAUUACUCUUUUACAUUAGUCAUUCACUUUAUGAAAACCUAGAUGAAGAAUUAAGUGAAGAAUUAGCAGCAAAAGUGGUCCAGAUGUUUCAUGUGGCUGACCCAAAGCAGCUGCCUCAUAUUCUGUGUAGUCCUUCUAUGAAGAAUACUAAUCCUUUAACUGCCAUGAGCUAUCUAAGGAAGCUGGAUAAUUCUGGAUUUUCAUCUAUUUUAAUGACGUUGACCAAGGCAGCAGUGGCUCUGAAAAUGGGAGAUCUUGACAUGCACAAAAAUGAAAUGAAAAGCCAUUCAGAGAUGAAGUUGGUAUGUGGCUUCAUUCUGGAACCUCGGCUGUUGAUUCAGCAGAGGAAGGGACUGGUUGUUCCAACUGAGCUUGCAAUUCACUUGAAAGAGACCCAGCCUGGAUUGCUUGUGGCUUCAGUUCUGGGCUUACAGAAGAACAACAAAAUUGGAAUUGAAGAAGCAGAUUCCUUCUUUAAGGAUCUUUGUGGUAAGGAUGAAGAUACGAUUCCUCAGCUCUUGGUAGACUUUUGGGAAGCUCAGCUUGUAGCAUGUCUCCCAGAUGUAGUACUUCAGGAACUUUUUUUCAAGCUCACAUCACAGUACAUCUGGAGAUUGUCUAGGAGACAGCCCCCUGACACCACACCACUACGAACCUCAGAGGAUCUGAUAAAUGCCUGUAGUCACUAUGGCUUAAUCUAUCCAUGGGUUAACAUCUUAAUAUCAUCUGAUUCCUUAGUUGAUAAAAAUUAUACAGAAGACCUUUUAAAAUUACAGUCUCUUAUAUGUGGUCCUUCAUUUGACAUAGCUUCCAUUAUCCCGUUCUUGGAGCCACUCUCAGAAGAUACUAUUGCUGGCCUCAGUGUCCAUGUUCUGUGUCGUACACGCUUGAAAGAGUAUGAACAGUGCAUAGACACACUGUUAGAGAGAUGCCCAGAGGCCGUGAUUCCGUAUGCUAAUCACGAACUGAAAGAAGAGAAUCGGACUCUGUGGUGGAAAAAACUGCUUCCUGAACUUUGUCAGAGAAUAAAAUGUGGUGGAGAGAAAUAUCAGUUCUACCUGUCAUUAUUAAAAGAAACAUUGUCAGUUGUUGCUGUGGAACUAGAACUAAGGGAUUUCUUGAAUGUCCUCCCAGAAGAUGGCACUGCAGCAUUUUUCUUGCCAUAUCUUCUUUACAGCAGUCGAAAGAAAUCAUUGACUUGAAGGUAUCAUUUGAAACAUACCUCAAUGGCAUAUGAGACUGAAUUUUUAAAAAUUGAGUGCCAGGUGGAGGCUGAUUUUUAUUCCAAGAGGCAACAUCAACUCACUGUUGUUGGGGACAUGACAAUCAUUUUCAUCCCAAGAACACUUCAAGCAAAUAUUUUGCAAGUAUCUUAAAAGAAUGUCACUCCAGACAGUCCAGAAUUUUAUCUUCUUGGCAUUUCCAGAUUUCUCUAUAGGGUCACUUUUUUUUUAGUAAUUUUUUUGAGAAAAAUGUUAAUGUUUUACCAUGGCAAAGUUAUAAAAUCAUAUUUCUAGUUACUUUUCAAACUCAUGAUGUAUCUCUCUCUGAAUCAAGCAGAAUAGGAGUUUACAAAGUGGACUUUCCUGUCUGUUAGCAUUAUUUCUUGAAUGCGUGUUUUUCAGCCAAGCCUUGGUUUCAUUUUUUGAUGAUGUGUACCCUUGCUCUUCUAGCUAAGCAUAUGUGAAAAUAAAGAAGUAUUUUAUUUGCAACUA